AUGGAAAUUGCCCUAAAACGUAUUCAUGUUACCAACAGCUCUAUCUGUGGUUUAUUUACUUUCACCUAUGAAGCACGCUAGCGCGGGUGGUUCUUUGAUCUAAAUGGGCACAAAAAUUCAAGCAAAGAAAGUUACUGUUUGUGUACAUAAUUUUUCAUUAAGAAAUGGUAUAGUCAUUUCUAGAAGUAGUACGUCGAUGUGUCGUCGUCACAGCUAACAGCUGCGCGAGAUAGCACCCGAUUUCUUCGUCGACGCAUGGCCAGAUUUUUAGCUUGUAUGGAAAUUCUUCUGUUUAUAGUGUGUCGUCAGAUGACGUGUAUUAGUGUCCUGUGUGUUUUCGUGUACUUGUAAAGGAUUCCGAUCUAGCAGAGAAGCCGAAAUUACAUAAGCAAUGUUUCUUUUUAAUCGAAAAAUCUUUCUCUUUUCUGUAUUGUCUCUCCAGAAAUGAGGUGGUCUGUUGUAAUUUUAAGCGCAUCGUCCUUUGGGAGCAGUGCUUUGUUGCGCCGCAUAGACAAGUUAGGUUUUGGAACGCUUUUCAUGUCCUAAGGAAUUUUUUGAUAGUACAAUUCACAUUUCACGUUAUACAGCUGUACGUUUGUGUGAACCUUUUCAUAGUAGAUUCAUGUUCUCUACAGUUCGAUUUACGUGUUAUUUAACCGCCUGUGAUGUUACAAUCAGAUAUUUGCACAACCAGUUGCAGCUUCAUGUAACUGGUUGUAUGAGACUUUUUUCAAAAUAUGACGUGAUCUUUUUAUAUCACAAGUUUGCAGUUUCAGCAGGGAUUACAAUAAAUAAGUAUUUAUUAUUAUUUAGGGAUGGCAAGAUUUUGUGAACCAGAGGCACCUCCACAUAUGCACCUGCGGCACUUCUGCAGCCUCAACAGCACGGAAAAGUACCUGAUGUGCAUGCUGUGACAAGCUGCUGUAGGUAUGGCUGGACCUGGAGAAGAAGUGUAAGCAGACCAUGCUAUGUUGCUGAUCUGCGCUGAUCUCCACAUCCAAGUUGGUCCCGCGACAGUUGGGCACCAUUGUGCCUUGCUUCAUUGACAAGGUGAUAUAAUAUGGUGCCCUGCUCGCUCUCACCCAAGCAACCCACUCCAGCGGUCUUCUCUCGGCAGACUGGAUGCAUCGAAAUACCGUUAGAAGGUCCAAUAAACAGUGCUUGGGACAUUUA